rnacentral:lncRNA from 1 species
ACAAUAUAUAAUCACACAAAAGAAUAUACUAAUCAAACUCUCCGGCCUUUUCUUCAUCUUGUAUUGAAGCACGUCUUUUUGGUAGAUUGUUGAAGUGAUAAGAACAUCAUUCAUCUUUUCCUGUAAAAUAUAACAUUUUUCAAUAUAUUAGCAGCAUACUUUUAUAAGAUUUUUCAAUGAGAUGAAUUUCAUACGCUUACCAAUAUAUUUUUUCUUGGAGAGUUAUCUUAUAAUUUUACUCAUCUAUUUCUACAGAAAAUAAACAAAAUCUGAAAAUUAUUCAUAAUUGAAGAAAGAAAUAAAGUUAGUAACACUACCAUUUAUAAGAUUUUUCAAUGAGAUGAAUUUCAUACGCUUACCAAUAUAUUUUUUCUUGGAGAGUUACCUUAUAAUUUUACUCAUCUAUUUCUACAGAAAAUAAACAAAAUCUGAAAAUUAUUC